GACUUCUGUGUUGUGGGGGGUUGGGCGAACGGGAAAGGGAGGCGUGUGUGUGUGUGCAUGUGUGUGUAUUUGUGUGUAUUUGUGUGUAUUUGUUUCCACUUUCUGGUGUCACAGGAUGACAGCCCUGGUUAAAAGAAGGAACAAGAACAAGAUAAAGCAGUAGAAGUGACGUUUAUUUUUAAUUACAUUAAAAAAACUACUUGUAACUAUAAAAAUGUCACCAUGUAACAUUGUUGCCUCUGCACUGAAAUACUUGUUUAUUUGUCUCUGUGGUAUCUUUAGCCUCAUCAGUCACUGUUGCCAUAUCUUAAGUCAAUUUUGAAGCUUAUAUGAUAGAAAACAGUACUUUACCAGAGUGCUUAAUGAAUUCACACUAGUACAAGGCUGAAACUAUUAGUCAAUUAAUUGAUAAGUUGCUCAAUAGAUCAUUAAAACCCAAGAAGUUUUUUUUCUAAUUGAUUAAUUGUUUAUGUUAUUUAUCAAACACAAAUGUUAAACAUUUGCGAGUUUAAGCCUCUCAGAUGUGAGGUUAAACAUAUUUUGGAAACAUAUGAAUUAAGUUUGAAUAGUGAAUAUUUUUGGAUUGUGGGGGGAAAGGGCAAUUCGAGGACAUCCCAAACCUAAAACUGUUUUGGGAUGUGGAUAAGACCUUCACUAUUAGUCAAUUAAUCAAUUAGUCAAACAUCAGAAAACACAUCAGCAACAAUUUUGAUCAUUCCUUCAGUUGUUUAAGUCGUGGGUCGCACCGUCACCUCACAGCAAGAAGGUUCCAGGUUUGAACCCUGGUUGUCCCGGGACUUUUCUGUGUGGAGUUUGCAUGUUGUCACUGUACCUGUGUGUGUUCUCUCCAGGCUCUCCAGUGUCCUCCCAUGGUCCAAAGAAAUGCUUGUGUGUAAGUUGUUGUUAACACAACAAUAGCCCAAAUCUUCUAGCCUCUCAAAUGGUGCAUGCAAACAAACACGACGGACUGAAGUGCAAAUACUAACAAACAGUUCACUGCUCUGUCCACAACUCUUUGUUCCAACAAGAGCUGAAUGUAAUUACAAGUCGCCUUCAAAGACGGAGUCUGAACGAACAGAAUGUGCAGAAUGUGUACGGUGGCGACAACUUUUCACACCUCCAUCCACCCUGACCUGAUUGACGACCAUGAAGAGCACAAUUUGUCAGGGCAGCUGACCAAGAUGGCCGCCCUGCCCCCUGGAUAACUGUGACUACGCUCUACCAACAAAAGAGGAGAUGGGGAAAACAGCAAGGAGAAAUAAAAUACUUCAUCCACCCCUCUCCCAGAGAAGUGCCAGAUCUUUAUUUCACCCUUUUCUUUCCGCUUUUUCUGUCUCAGUGCCCACAAAGUGAUUGGAAAGCACACGACAAUCUUUUUUUGUUGACGUUCGAUGGCGCGUAAUAAUGUGGUCAUUAUCAUCGCUAAAGGAACAGGUUGAGGCUCAGACAGGGUUUCACUGGGGGGCCUUUACAGCACACACACACAUACACACACUUUCAGUGUGGGAAAAGAAUGCUUCUAAAAGAGGGACAGCUGUUUGGGUGGCUCGUGAGGAUGGCGAUCAGGUUAAAGAGAUGAUGGCCUACUGUAAACCCCACCUGUGCAUUAGGCCACGCCUGAGGCUGUGGGUGGAAAACAGGGGCCAGCGUGGGAGCCUGUGAUUUUGUCCACUGGAAAGUGUGAUUUUAGCAUCUUCUCAUAACUGACUUUUAUAAAAGUCUUUUCAAAGUUCACAAACUCAGUUUUACCACUAUGGUAAUAAGUGGACAGUACUUGCCUACAAAGGUGAAAGUAGUAACUAAAAAGCAGUGAAGUUGAAUGGAAGGGGUUUAAAGUUUUCAUUUCAUAGCUUUGAACUGAUAUGAUACCUUAGAAAAUGCAGAUACUUAAUUCUACCUUUGGAUACUGAAUGUUAUUUGUUUGUUUGUUUGCAUAUUAACAAAUACAACUGUUAUAAAAUAUACACAUUAGAACACACAUAACGCAUAAAUACAGACACACUUACAUCUACAUACUCACAUACACGUGAUUUAAAAGCAAACAUGAGCCUGUGUAGGAGAGGUAGGAAGCUUAAACUGUCGUCCAUUUUAACCACUUUGUUUACGAAAUAAACUUUAUUUUGAUUAUAUAUAGUCCAUAGCUUAUAGAAAUUAGAUAUAUUUAUGUUUUCUCUGUGUCUGUUUGUCCAUCUACCAUUAAUAAUUGUGCUGAAAUCAAUCUUCAUUUACAAAAUGUACAUUUAAUUAUGUGAUUUGAAGGUGGAUCAACAAUUAAUUCUAGAGUCAAUUGUUGCUAAGCUAGUUAGCUUUAGCAGAGGUCUGGAUGUCUUUUUCCCUCCACCAUGGCUCAGUUCAGCGGCUUAGUUGUCCUGUCAUUUAAUUAUGUGGAAUAAAAAAAC